ensembl:piRNA 21ur-3017 ncRNA
UUCAGAAAGUAAGUGAAGCAA